rnacentral:lncRNA from 1 species
UAAAAAUUGUAUUCUAAUGUUACCCAAGGCCUUCAUAAGUACAACCACAUGAUUAUUUUGAGAUAGCAUAUAUUAAAUGUAUGAAUUGCACUAUUAGAGAGUUUCAAUCAGAAUGACUGCUCCAUCGAAGCCCAGCGGUUCUAGUGUUAAUAUACUGAAAGACUUGUGAUAAGAUUGGCUCCAUAUAAGGUGUCUUAUAAUCUAUAGUAUCAUCAUAUUGGUGUAGAGUGAAGUUCCCCUUAGACCACAGAUGUCAAAUUCCUUCCACAGAGGGCCAAGUGUCUGCGGGUUUUCAUUCCUCCCUUGUCCUUGAUUGAGGAAUGAAGGUCACCAAUUAGUAUGGAACUUUCCACACCUGGUGGUCUCGGGCUUAAUUUAAAGGUGAAAAUAGACCUUAGGUCCUCUACGGAAUGAGAUUGACACCCCUUGCCUAGAUGCUGAUCUUGGGGCAGUUUUGCAUUUUCCCCAAUAAUGGUUAGGAAUGGGGAGGGGAAGCCGAUCCUAGAUCUGUACCUAGGGGAAACCUCACCACAGAGCAAGUUAUUAUCAGCCAAUUUAAAUUCAUUGAAAUAUUGCCAUAUUGGAAGACAAAAUAUUAUGUCUUAUAAUAAAUGCAUGCUCAUAACAAGUUGAAUGCAUUAUACCUUUUGUUAUAUACCCAAUGUUAUAAUAUUUUCUUCUGAGCAUAUAGAGCUGACAAACUCCAUCAUAAGUGGAUGAGGGUGAUGCCUACUCCACGAGCAGUACAAUACAGUGGAUCAAUGUACAAGAUCCAGGUACACAAAGCUCUAACCCAGAGCGUACUUUACAGUAUGAUCUGAGGAUCAUGAAAUCUGAAGGUGGGGCUUUGUAUUAAACUCAGUAUGGCUUCUCUUGCCCUCCGCAGGAGACACAGGGAAAAGCUCCGGGCACACUUCUUGGAGAGCCGGAAUCUGAGGGUGUGCAGUAUCAAUGCCUCUGGGUUCAUGUCUAAAUCCAGCCCAAGGCCUCAGUGUGGCUGGCAGCUUCAAAAGUGCUACAAAUCUCAUGGGUUCUCCCCUCCUCAAGGGUGCAGCAGUCUGUCAGCUGGCGCACCAACAGCAGCUCCACCGACUCUCAACAGAGCACUCCCCAAAGGGAAAAGCUUCAGGAGUAGCUCCCUGUCCCUCAGUCCAGCCCAAAAACACCAGGACAUUCAUCACUUUAGGACCCUGCCAAUCUCUCGAGGACCAAGGGUUGCUGGCCCCGCCUAUAAGCACCUGCAAGUGGUAGAGUCUACAGAGAUGGAGGCGGAGUCUUUAAGAGGGUAAGCACCUGGAUGUUCUGCUUUGCUUUGAAACUGAAUGAGGACAGUGUUAAUAGCAAGGUUGUUUGGUCUUGAUACGUUUGGUUGAAUUAUGUGCUUUGAAAUAAUAUU